GCUCCCUGAUAGCAGACUACUCCGAUCCGGAUCCGUUUUACCUCCGGCAGAUCCGCGCUACAGUCAGGUCUGUUUAGUGGAUCUGGUACGGCUUCACUCCGGGUUCGGGUUAUGAUUGUGACUCACGUUCAGAUCCGUUUUACUGACGGUAAAUCCGCAUAACAGUCCGUCUCAUUUCACGCCUUCCAUAUGACUUCGGCACGGAGUCAGAUACCAGAUGUGAGUUCAGUGUCAGUUCAGUGUCGUUUUGCGGAUCCGGGCCGCAUCGGCGGAGCGGCACAGGAGCGGGAGAAAUUCAAACUCAGCGCGAGGACCAACUGACAUCUGCUGAAUCUGCGCUUCAGGGCUGCUGAGGGCUGGGGACCUGAGAUAAGGUGUAAUCAUUUACCCAUCAAAUCACCUAACAAGCAGGAUUUGGUAUCCGCAAAAUGGUUCGAGGUCCUCAGCCCUCGCCUCCCCCAGCACAGAGGAAAACUACCAAGGGCAGUACUCUCAUUAUAGGAGAUUCAAUUGUUAGACAUUUAAAAGUAUCUAAGAGUAAUGGCACAAUUUCAUGUCUUCCAGAUGCUUGCAUGCUGGUAGUCGGCAAGCGGCUCCCUGGGGCGCAUUGCCAAAGCAGGAACCCCGGCACCAUCGCCCUCCAUGUGGGGAUGAGCUUUCGGGAGCGACCGGUUCCGUUCCACAGAGACAGGCUUCUCUCUGUGAACAUCGAGGCGGUGCUACGCUGAGACUGACUGUCUCUACCCAGUCACACCAGCCAAGCUGCACUGUAGUGGUGUUAAGUGUCCAAGAAUGCUCUCAUCAGUGGAGGCACAGCUGGCUGCAAAAAACGUCUGUGUCUGCAUGUUUAUAUUAUGUGAAUUAAAAAUGGUUUUAUUAUUAAAAUAAUUGUA